ensembl:lncRNA
GUCCGCCAAGGAGCUGGCUCGCCACUGUCGCCGCCGUACGAGGGGUGUGGCGGAGACGGAGCGGCUCAUCCAGGAGGUGCUGGACGCCUUCUGGCAUGUGACGGACACCAUGGGCGUCGCUUUGAUCGACCGCGCCCGCAUGGAGGACAUCUGGGGCACGCAGCGCCGCCACCUCGACUGCGUCCAGGACCCAGAGGGGGUGGAGCUGUACACCAAGACGGGAGAGAUCACCAAGGGUGGUAUGUCUUUUGCAAAUUUAAAAUUGACGCCGUCGCAUCAGUUGGUCCUGCGGGCCUCUGAUGCGGCGGCAGCCUUCACCGCCGCCAUGGGGCCACGCGGGACCCAGGCUCCCGCCAGGGCCAAGAGGCCGGGGGAGGUGGAGAAGGAGGCCCAAGCCCGCGUCGUCUCCGGGGGCGGUGACCCUGGGAACCCCAUGCUGGUGCUGGGCUGCCACAGCAUCCAGCUGGGGAAGUACCAGGGUCAGACCUUCCGGUGGCUCCUGGAGAACGACGCGGGCUACGCCUGUCACCUGGUCGCCAGUCACCAGCGGGAGCGGGAGACUAGUGCCUCGGACAGCCCGCUCAUGGCCAACAAGGACAGCCUCGCCCGCUACUCCUGCGCC